UACGGAGGGUGCGAGCGUUGUCCGGAAUCACUGGGCGUAAAGGGCGCGUAGGUGGCCUGUGGAAGUCUGCGGUGAAAGCCCGGCGCUCAACGCCGGGUCGGCCGUGGAUACUCUCGGGCUUGAGCUUACUAGAGGCAGAUGGAAUUCCGGGUGUGGCGGUGGAAUGCGUAGAGAUCCGGAAGAACACCGGUGGCGAAGGCGGUCUGCUGGGGUAAUGCUGACACUGAUGCGCGACAGCGUGGGGAGCAAACAGG
rnacentral:rRNA from 1 species